UAACACGUGGGUAACCUGCCCUGAUGAUCGGGACAACCCGAGGAAACUCGGGCUAAUACCGAAUGUGCCCUAUGGCCGCAAGGUCUGUGGGGAAAGGAAGCUUCGGCCUCCGCAUCGGGAUGGGCCCGCGGCCCAUUAGCUUGUUGGUGAGGUAACGGCUCACCAAGGCCACGAUGGGUAGCUGGUCUGAGAGGACGAUCAGCCACACUGGGACUGAGACACGGCCCAG
rnacentral:rRNA from 1 species